rnacentral:rRNA from 1 species
GUAGUCAUAUGCUUGUCUCAAAGAUUAAGCCAUGCAUGUCUAAGUACAUGCCGUAUUAAGGCGAAACCGCGAAUGGCUCAUUAAAUCAGUUACGGUUCCUUAGAUGUUGACUAUCUACAUGGAUAACUGUGGUAAUUCUAGAGCUAAUACAUGCACAAAAGCUUCGACCGUAAUGGAAGAAGCGCAUUUAUUAGACCAAGACCAAUGGGGUUCUUCACGGAACUCCUUACGGUGGUGACUCUGAAUAACUUUGCUAAUCGCAUGGCCUAAGAGCCGGCGAUGAAUCUUUCAAGUGUCUGCCUUAUCAACUGUCGAUGGUCGGUUAUGCGCCUACCAUGGUUGCAACGGGUAACGGGGAAUA